AGCGAACGCUGGCGGCAGGCUUAACACAUGCAAGUCGAGCGGGCGUAGCAAUACGUCAGCGGCAGACGGGUGAGUAACGCGUGGGAACGUACCUUUUGGUUCGGAACAACACAGGGAAACUUGUGCUAAUACCGGAUAAGCCCUUACGGGGAAAGAUUUAUCGCCGAAAGAUCGGCCCGCGUCUGAUUAGCUAGUUGGUGAGGUAACGGCUCACCAAGGAGUCGAUCAGUAGCUGGUCUGAGAGGAUGACCAGCCACAUUGGGACUGAGACACGGCCCGAACUCCUACGGGAGGCAGCAGUGGGGAAUAUUGGACGAUGCGGGCAACCCUGAUCCAGCCAUGCCGCGUGAGUGAUGAAGGCCCUAGGGUUGUAAAGCUCUUUUGUGCGGGAAGAUAAUGACGGUACCGUAAGAAUAAGCCCCGGCUAACUUCGUG
rnacentral:rRNA from 1 species